CUUCACCGGAGGGAGAGCGGGCUGGAAGUGAGGUUGCUGUAAAUUGCUGUGUGGUGUUGUGUGUGUUGGGGGGGUGGGGAGGGGGGGUGCGCGUGUAGGCCGAGUGUGUGAGUGGAUGCGUGAAUGUCUGAGUGGGUGCGUGAAUGUGUGCGUGCGUGCGCUCGCCCCUGCACCCCUCCCCCGGCCUACACGUUGAUCUUAUUUGAUCGGGUUGGGACUCCAGCCCCGCCGGUCCGACCCGAAAUGAAAAGCUUCCCUCCUGCGAAGCCCUUCCUCGGGGCGCUGUGCAGCGAGGCCCCUUGGGCGGUGGCAACGCCGUGGCCCCGGAGGUUCCGAGCGGUCCUGUGGGGCCCGGCGCUCAGAAGUGAUGAAUUGAUCAGAUAGACGAGGCCGGGCUUGUCCCGCGCCAUUGAUUAUCGAGGCGAUUCUGAUCUGA
ensembl:scaRNA SCARNA2 small Cajal body-specific RNA 2